rnacentral:misc_RNA from 1 species
CAGUAAUUAACAAAAUGUUAGUGAAAUUGAAUUUCUUGAUGGUGCCUACUGCAAUCCCUAAAAUGAUCCCUAGCAGAACAUAAGGCAAUGAGGCAGUGAGCAUCACAAAUGAUUACCAUUCCUACUGCAGCUGGAAUACAUAAUCACCAAAAGUGGUCAAAAGUAAUAUAUAUACUUGAGGAGAUAAUUAUUACUUAGUCAUUAAGCUGAAAUGUACAUAUUUAAACUACUUAACAUUUCAUCUCCUUUAUUAACCUCAAAUCUUUUCUUCAAUCUCCCUACACCUUUUGUGACGAAGAUGACAUAUGGAUUUGUGCUUUCCAACUCUAAUAAACAACUCACAUGGCAAUAAACAAGACACCAUUAAUUGUCAUUUCUAUUUUCUAUAGUCGUCUUUUCUUUCUUGUGUCUAAAGGAUUCCUUAUAGUGGAUAUCCUUCCACCUUAAGAAAAGAUACUUUGAUCAUUUUGACUGAUGGAUGAACCCAUAAAAAACAAAAUCUACUGCUCUCACUUCAAUUUUUUUCCAUGGUCGGUUCUGGAUAUCCUUACUACUACACACACCCUUCCAUUAUAGACAUGGGCAUCCAUGCUAAAGCAAAUUCCCUUUGGCUCACCAUGUUCAAUCCAACCAACUCUUUUCUUGAACCCACACCCUUUCUCUCCUUCCCUUCUCAUCUUUAAGUUUUGGCGAUAAAAGGGUAACCAAAACAGCAAUAUUGUAUCAAUCUUCCCCGUUCUCUCUCAAAGGGGAAAACAAGAUUCCUUCCACGCCCCACACCUUUUGCCUUUCAAUUAUUCCUUCCUCCAUGUACAAAUAAAUGCCCAAUAUUGAUUCUUCUUUCAUACUCUUGACCCUCUCUAACCCUCAUGUCCUUUAUCUCUCUCCGAUGGUUCCAGAAUUAGAGGUACAAUUCCAACCAGAGCUCGUCUCCUGUAUUUUUAUUUCAGGGCAUUAAGCAUCUAACUUGUGCUUUCUCCUCAAACGCAGAAACCUCAAGUUACAGAGAUACAAGUCCGAAUGGACUGUAAUGGAUGCGUGCAGAAGAUCAAAAAGGCUCUGCAUGGCAUCAAUGGUAAGCAAUUAACAAGUCACUUAAUGAUAUUCCUCUUUCUUCUUCCAGUAUUAUCAUCCUGAGAAUUUAACAUUUUGAUAUCUAACUUCUUCUUUUCAUCAGGUAUCUAUGAACUCCAUAUUGACAUCACCCAACAGAAGUUGACAAUAAUUGGGUGGGCAGAUCCAGAAAAAAUAGUAAAAGCCAUUAGGAAAACUAGAAAGAUUGCCACUAUAUGUUCCCACACAGAACCAUCAGAUCAGCCAGCCGCUCAGCCAACAGAACCACCACCAACCACCAAAGCAACAAACCCUACCCUAGCAGAAGCUCCACCGGCUGAAGCAGCACCACCAGCGGAACCACCAACAGACCCACCACCACCUGAGAAUCCACCACCAGAAGAGAAACCAUCACCGUCACCGUCACCUGUUGCUACAGAAUCCAAUGCAAACCAGCCUGCAGGCCCCGCACAAGCCCCUGGACCAAAAGAUGUAGGAGAGGUUCACGUCAUAUACCAUCACCCACCUGACUAUGGGUACAGAUAUAGCUAUGGUCAUAGUUAUGGUGGUCCGUGGAACAGAUACCCAAGCAGCCAUGAACUUCCACCAGAGCCCAGAUACCCUACUAGCCAUGGACUUCCACCAGAGCCUAGAUACCCAACUAGCCAUGGGCUUCCACCAGAGCCAAGAUACCCUAAUGGCCAUGGACUACCACGAGGACCACCACAGCCAAUCUACGUGACUCACAGCUACAACACAUACAGGCCAUCAGCAUAUGUCACAGAAUAUGAGUACAUCCGCUCUCCACCUCGCCACACAAUUUACAGUAGGAUGGAUCAUUACAGCGAGGAUUAUCAUGAAAUAACUCGCAAUGGAAACAUCACAUCUAUCUUCAGUGACGAAAACCCAAACGCAUGUAGAAUAAUGUAAGGCUCAGGAAAGUUGCAAGAGAAACAAGGCACUUCAAUUCUUACGCCUCUGGAAAAGAGAUUACUUGGUGGAGAAUAAUCAGAGAAAAAAAUAAAGGAAUCUGGUGGCACUAAUAUUUUCCUAAUAAGCAUGUGAAAAUGUUUGAGGGAAGAUAUUUGAUUCUAAACUUGUUACUGCAAGAAGAAUUGAUUCUGCAUUCCACUCCUUAUUGGACUAAUAAUACAUACUGCCUGCUGUAGAAGAAUCCUUAAAAGAAAAUUUUUUAAACUAUGCUUCCCAGCCUACCAUUUUUUACAAACACUACCCCAUCUGCAUUUUAAAUUAUAUCCUAAACAUCGACUCUACAAAUUGAAAUGUGUUUACUUAAAAAGCCAUCACCAACGCAAAGUUGACAAAUAUGCUUUCCUAAAUGAAUAUUAAUUAAAAAGCCCAAUGCGCCUCAUGAUGGACAAAAAACAAAAGAUAACAACGAACACAGUUGAGGAAUAAUGAAUAUUUGCAUGUUCAGCAUUGGAGACAAAUAAAACAGUUAUUUUACCUAGUUAAGAAGUGUUAUAUGGUUGGUUUCCAAGCAGUAUGCUAUUUUGGUGGCACCAGGAAAAAGGCCCUAGACAGACUACAAAAUUGAUUGCCAUUUUACAAGACAAAUAUAACCCAAAGUCUUUGCAAUUGGACAAAGAAUACAGGCCAGACAUGAUAGAGAACAAAAACGCCUGUAAAGUAGAGGGGUUGAAAUUAUGCUUCCAGUUAUGCACCAACGAAUCUAUGCACAGUUGGAUGCCAAUUCAUGAAAAUCCGCACCAAAUGAAGCUUUCCCACAAUAUACCACUGGAAAACUGAUCCCCAAACUGCUAUGGAGAUUGCAUUUAGUUAUAAUCAUCGCUACUCAAUUGGGAUUCAUCAUUUUCUUCCCCAUAAAGACGUUCAUCAAUAUCUUCAUCAUUGUUGUCAUCGUCAUCAUCAUCCAUUUGGUCAUUAUGCAGUGAGACAUAAGCUUUGUUCACGGCAGCCUUGUCAAUCUGUGCAGUUACCAGCUGUAAACGACCUGAUAAUUGUAGUAAAGGUUGAACAGCCACCCCUCUAGACUUGGUGAUCUUUAAUAGUGAAUUAAGCAUCUGAGCAUCUGGUUUUUCUUGAGCCAUGAUAUAAUGGCCGUGAUUGACCAAUAUACAGUAUAUCCAUGGCAGAACAUACUUUCCACUACAUGACCUGUUUAAGACAACCACAGUUUCAGAAACCAUAAUUUGUAUAUUGAUAUUCCAUGGCUGGAGAAAAUUCAUGACUGGAGAAAAUUCAUGACUUUCAAAAAAAAGUAUAAAUUAUUACAGAAAAUGAAGCAAAUAUUCAGUGUUCAUGCAAAAGACGAAGCCAGCUCUGAUUGUAAUCCUAAACUUGAAUUAUUAGAUAUCACUUGUAUAUAGGCACUUAAGAUAAUUAUUCAUAUAAAAAGCCAAAUCACAGAGUUUACAAUUCUUUAUCAGCUGUCAUUCAUUUAUAGCCUGUAGAAUACAAUUUACUUCAUAAAACCCCCAAAUCAGGAUAAGUAAUACAAUCAUUGAAAAACAAGAGCAAAACCUGGAUUCCCAUUUGGCCAACAAGACUUCCAGUAACUUGUAUGCAUUGUUAGGUUCCAGAGAUAAGACAGCUGCCCUCAUCUUCUUUUGUGGAAUAUUAGCUUCAACAUCAAUACCCACAAAUUUGGCAGAAACAGGAGUAGAUCUAAUCAUACCAUCAUCUUUACUGCCAAAUAUUUCUAAUGAUCUCAAAUGCUUCUCCAUGGAAGUCAUUACAGUGUCAGCUUCUACAGUGCCAUCUUUAUUCUCCACAAGUUCAGGUUGACUCCUACCAUCAAUCAAAUCCACCAUGACCUCAUCAGAGUCAUUAAUUAAAGCUUUAUCCAUCAUCCUUUUGCCAUGAAAAUCAGAAACUUUUGGAAUAGGAAGCAAGGCAUCCUCCACAUUGGCACGGUCUAGUGCAGUAACUCCAUUCUGUAUAUCAGCCCCUUUCUUAGAUUUGAUGAGAGACUGACUCAUUGGUAAAAGAACUCCAUCCUCAACUUUACGUCUGUGCCAGAAUGCACUAAUAUUUUCUGAAACAAAGAUUUAACAAGUAAACCAUAGGCAAU